rnacentral:rRNA from 1 species
CAGUAGCCACGGUAACACGUAGGGUGCGAGCGUUAAUCGGAAUUACUGGGCGUAAAGCGAGCGCAGACGGUUACUUAAGCAGGAUGUGAAAUCCCCGGGCUCAACCUGGGAACUGCGUUCUGAACUGGGUGACUAGAGUGUGUCAGAGGGAGGUAGAAUUCCACGUGUAGCAGUGAAAUGCGUAGAGAUGUGGAGGAAUACCGAUGGCGAAGGCAGCCUCCUGGGAUAACACUGACGUUCAUGCUCGAAAGCGUGGGUAGCAAACAGGAUUAGAUACCCGAGUAGUCCCUGUCUCUUAUAC